rnacentral:rRNA from 1 species
GAUGAACGCUGGCGGCGUGCCUAAUACAUGCAAGUCGAGCGAACGGACGAGAAGCUUGCUUCUCUGAUGUUAGCGGCGGACGGGUGAGUAACACGUGGAUAACCUACCUAUAAGACUGGGAUAACUUCGGGAAACCGUAGCUAAUACCGGAUAAUAUUUUGAAACGCAUGGUUCAAAAGUGAAAGACGGUCUUGCUGUCACUUAUAGAUGGAUCCGCGUUGCAUUAGCUAGUUGGUAAGGUAACGGCUUACCAAGGCAACGAUGCAUAGCCGACCUGAGAGGGUGAUCAGCCACACUGGAACUGAGACACGGUCCAGACUCCUACGGGAGGCAGCAGUAGGGAAUCUUCCGCAAUGGGCGAAAGCCUGACGGAGCAACGCCGCGUGAGUGAUGAAGGUCUUCGGAUCGUAAAACUCUGUUAUUAGGGAAGAACAUAUGUGUAAGUAACUGUGCACAUCUUGACGGUACCUAAUCAGAAAGCCACGGCUAACUACGUG